UUCUCUUGCAAUUGUUUAUGUAAUAACG
rnacentral:sRNA from 1 species